rnacentral:rRNA from 1 species
UACAGAGGGUGCGAGCGUUGUUCGGAAUUAUUGGGCGUAAAGGGCGCGCAGGCGGCCCUUGAAGUCAGGCGUGAAAGCCCUGGGCUCAACCUGGGAGGUGCGCUUGAUACUCGAGGGCUGGAGUACGGGAGAGGAGAGUGGAAUUCCCAGUGUAGAGGUGAAAUUCGUAGAUAUCGGGAGGAACACCUGUGGCGAAAGCGGCUCACUGGACCACAACUGACGCUGAGGCGCGAAAGCUAGGGGAGCAAACAGG